rnacentral:rRNA from 1 species
GACGAACGCUGGCGGCGUGCUUAACACAUGCAAGUCGAACGGAAAGGCCCUGCUUGCAGGGUACUCGAGUGGCGAACGGGUGAGUAACACGGGGGUGAACUGCCCUGCAAUUCGGGAUAAGCCUGGGAAACUGGGUCUAAUACCGGAUAGGAGCCAUUUUUAGUGUGAUGGUUGGAAAGAUUUUUAGGUGUAGGAUGAGCUCGCGGCCUAUCAGCUUGUUGGUGGGGUAAUGGCCUACCAAGGCGGCGACGGGUAGCCGGCCUGAGAGGGUGGACGGCCAUACUGGGACUUAGAUACAGCCCAGACGCCUACCGGUGGCAACUGUGGGGAAGUAUGCACGAUGGGCGCAAGCCUGGUGCAUCGACGCCGCGUGGUGGAUGACAGCCCUCGGGUUGUAAACUCCUUUCGCUAGGGACGAAGCUUUUUGUGACGGUACCUGGAUAAGAAGCACCGGCUAACUACGUG